AAAGGAUGCAGUACUAG
rnacentral:misc_RNA from 1 species